rnacentral:lncRNA from 1 species
AAAUGCACGUACGCCACGACACCACACCACACGACGGAUGCAGCCCUUCAUCACCACUAGCAUAGCAGACAGCUUCUUCCUCCUACGCACGACGUAUGUUUGUAUAUACUGUUAGUUUUAAAUAGCGCGCUAAGCAUUUUAGCGGCGGACUUCUUCCAAAUGCUAUAGCGUGCUAUAGCGGAGCUAUAGCGCGCUAUUUAAAAUGUUUGUUUAUUUGUUUGAACCAAAGUCUCUUAGCGCAAGACCUUUUAUAAACGCUAUAGCGUGCUAUAGCGGGCUAUUUAAAACAGUGAGUGUUAUGUAGCUUCCUUGCUCAUGAUUUAGUGUAGGAUUGCAUUGGGGGAGGCUCGGGCAGGGGCUGGUGGACGGAGAAGGAGUUGGACCGGGACACGGGCCGGGAGUAGCUGG